rnacentral:rRNA from 1 species
UACGGAGGGUGCAAGCGUUAUCCGGAUUCACUGGGUUUAAAGGGUGCGUAGGUGGGUUGGUAAGUCAGUGGUGAAAUCUCCAGGCUUAACUUGGAAACUGCCAUUGAUACUAUCAAUCUUGAAUACCGUGGAGGUCAGCGGAAUAUGUCAUGUAGCGGUGAAAUGCUUAGAUAUGACAUAGAACACCGAUAGCGAAGGCAGCUUACUACAGGGAUGAUUGACGCUGAGGCACGAAAGCGUGGGGAGCAAACAGG